UUAAACACAAUAUCGUAAGAAGUUACCUUAAACGUAAUCAAUUUUUAUAAGGUAUAUUAUUGUGUUACUUGUGACUUGGAGCCUCACGAUUGCAGGUGAUAUUAAAUUCGUUCGUUAGUUAUCUGUAAGUUACUUUCUUUAGAAAUUCGUUAAUGUUAAUGAUCUCAGCUUUUAAAACCAAUUCUCUAUCAUUGUAUUAGAAAUUGUAGAACUUAUUUCUUGAUUUAACUCUUAACUCUUGGAAGUAUAUCACCGUGGAACUAUUCAGAUCAGUGUUCAUACAAGUUUAGCCAAGUACUGUUGGAAGUACUGCUGUGACCUUUAAGAAAAUUGCUAUCUGCAUUGAUCAGUGGUUAAGUCCUUAUGGUUUGUUCAUCAUACAGAGCAGCGUACCUUAAGGAUUUAUUUGGUGGAAACUUUUAUUAUCGUGAACUAAAACUUAAACAAAAUGACCAUUCUUGAUUUAGAAAUUGAAGAAUCCGACUUUAAUGAAACAGAGCUUUCAUUGAUAAUGGAAGACCUUCGGGAGGCCAUCAGAACUCAUAACUCUAUAGAUGACAUAAUGAUCUGUAUUCAAAACUGUUGGAAUGAUAAGGGAAUAACGGACUAUAAUAUUGCUUAUAACCAAGAAUUUAUUCACCUAUUUCGUGAAUUUUAUAGUCAUUAUGCAAGAAUUAGAUAUAUGCAGUACAAAAUUCAAAUAACCAAACCCAAGGGCAAAUAGCUCUUGAAAACAAUCUUAUAUAAUUAUAAUUUUA